GAGGAAGAGCGCCGCAGCCUCGGCAGCUGGAGUCGGAGCAGGGGGGGAUGGUUUCAAAAAAUAAUUAAAAAUCGAGGAAAUAUCCUAGAAAAGCCCUUUUGGCGUGAAAACCCCAAAGAAGAGCCAGGCUUCCCGAAACAGAGGUUUCGGGUGCCAGAAAGGUCUGUAUUCCGACCCCUGGGGCUUUGGAUCCCGGGAGGAAACUUGAAGGGGUGAGCGCCGCGGCGGGAGUGUCCGGCUGCGGCCCACAAGGACAGAAACUAGGGAACGCGGUGACGAGCGAGGGGAAAGACGGGAGCAGAGAGCCCUGGAAAGAGGCACGGGGGGCUCCCACCUCUCCUUCAGGGGUGACCCGGUAUCCCCCCUACACACACCCCCUCCCCCCCUUCCUACCCCACCCAAAUCUCCGCACCGAGGAAGCUGGAAAACCAAACUGUGCCCCAGCAGCUCCAGGUCUCGCUGAACCUGUUACUAUGGCAGCGUCUAUGCUUCACUUUUGAGGAUUGCUUCUGCUUUGAAAUAGCCGUGUGGAAGAAAAACUACAAAGUUUUGAGGGGGAAAAAACCCACCUAACUUUAGCUGCCGUUGUGUCUUCAUCUGUAAAAAUCUUCUUCAUGUCUCAUGGAUUUCAACAUGCAGUUUAUCUUGGUUUGUUCCAUAAAACAUCAGAUGCAACUUUAAUGGCCUAACCCCAAAAAGAUAACUUGGCAGCCAUCAAGCAUUCAGCAGCGUUCCAAAUGCCCUCUUGCUGGAGCCAGCCUUCUACGGGGCCAUGUGGAUGUCAGGCACACACAAUUUGAGUCACGCUGACAUAGCUGGGAUGCCUGGAUUGCACUGGAAUCUGGGGGGUACCAAUCACAGGCCAGAGAGAAGCCAUUGGCUGGAAGGAACAAUGCCAGCGUGUUCACCGUCUCUGCAGAAGGAGGGGGUGUUGAUGGUGAGGGGAAUGACAGUUGCAGCCAAAGGAGCAAAAUGACCCCAAAGCAGGGUGGGCACAUGUCAUUGAUGCUGGGCAGAAGCACUCCAGGGGCUCAGGUCAUGACCACACCCCUUUUCUCCUGCCCCACAACCAGAAAAACUAAGAAGGUACAAGAUUUUCCCUAAAACUUAAUGUACAGAAUGCCCUGCUGUCUUCAGGUUUUUGGGAAAUCCAGGGUUGACAACAACAGCCCAAAUAUAUGAAGCACUUACCUCUACCAGGCACUGUCUGUAUCUUACAAAUAAUUCGUUUAAUUCUCACAACUCCUUAAUGAGGUAAGUUUUACAAUUUCCAUUUUAUGAUGAGGGAAACUGAGGCUUAGAAAGAUUAAGAAACUUGCCCAAAUCCUGCAGCCAGAAAUGGGCAGAAUCAAGACAUGAACCACAGUCUCUCAAAAGCCAAAGCCUGGGCACUCACUACUACCCUCAACAGCCCGGUGGCUGGUUCAUGCCAUCUCUGCCACCCUCACACAGCCACCUCUUGGAUGGUAGAACCCUGUGUGUUGAACAAGUAGAGUAACAUUCUAAAAGGAUUCUUUUUCCUCCCCUGUUUUCCUGGGGGCUGAGUAGACAUGUUUAAACAUGCUGUUCAUCUGACACUUGUUUACUUCAGUGGCUAUGAUGUGCAAGACCCCAGACCAGGAACAGUAAGAGGGCAUGAGGAUAACCCAGCGUGGAGACCACUCUGGAGGAGGCUGCAGACUGGAGGCGCUGUUGUAGCCAGCUGCAUUUUGGAGGCUGGGUUGCCUGUCUUAGAUCUCUAAUGAGUUUGGUCAUUAUUUUUUCAGCCAGGGUUUUCUUCCUCCCUCCCUGUCUUCCUUCCCUUUCUCCUUCCUUCCUUCAUUCCUUCCUUCCUUUCUUCCUUCCUUCUUUCCUCCCUCCCUCCCUCCCUCCCUCCCUUCCUUUCUCUCUUUCCUUCUAUCUUUUAUUUUCUCUCUUUCUCUGUCUCUCUCUUUCUCUCUUUCUUCCUCCCUCCCUCCCUUUCUCUCCUUCUUUCUUUCUCCCUCCCUCCUCUCCUCCCUCUCUUGGUCUCUCUCUCUCUCCCUUCCUUCCUUUGUUCUUUCAAGAUUUUUCUUUCUUUCUUUCUUUCUUUUAAAGGUGUAAGCCUUUUUCUGGUUCACUACAUGCCAAGGACUGCGCUAAAUCAUUCACAUAAAACCACCAGCGUGCAUCACCUCAUUUGGUCCUCCCACAGUCUAACGGGUAGGUACUGUCAUUACCCUCAUUUUAAGAAAAUGAAGAAACUGAAGCUCAGAGAGGUGAAUUGAUGUCUCCACCGUCUGCCUGAUUCAGUACCCUGCACCCUUAACCACUAUAAAAGAACAACAUGCCAAUAGUUCCCUAAUGCUGUAAAAGGCACUGUUUUAAACGCAUCCUUUAUAUCAACUCACUCACUCCUCCAAACAGGCGCAAUAGAAAUUACUAUUAUCCUUGUUUAAUACAUUGGGAAACCAAAGCACAGAAAAGUCAUGUAAUUUUCCCCAGGUCACCCAGCUAGUAAGUGACAGAGCUGGGCUUCUGUUUCACCGAGGAAGACAUUCCUCAGUUUUUGUUCUGUUUUGUUUUUCACUUGAAAUCCCCCGCGAUGGCCCAGAGUGGAAUGCCAGGGUCCUGAGAAUAAAGUCUCUGAGCUGAACUGGGAAGGGGUGCCAGUGGCAGCUGUGUCCCCUACAGCUCUGGAAGGUGGAGGCGGUGGAGACAGCAACUACACAGCAGCCACAAGCCUGGGUCCCUGCCAGGGGAGACCUCAAAGUCCCCUCGAGGGUUGGCUUCUCUGUGCUGGGCCGUGCACAAAGGCGAGUCAUGGCUUCCAGGAGGCCAGCAGAACAUGGUCCUCGGGAGAGGAGAAAGCCCGAGGGAAGGGCUGAUGGGACCUCAGCCCUCAGCUCUGAGAAGGGCUGCUCUUUAGGAGAGGGGAUGUAGGUAACAGCUCCACCAAGAGCCAGGCAAGCAAAAGUAGGUUUCUGUUUGAGCAGCAGCUGGGGAAUUUCAGGGAGAGAGAGGAAUCCGUUCCCAACAGUGCAUAAUGUUCAACCCUGGAAGAGGUGACCAUCAAGGGGGCCUCUAGAAAGAGUAGACGGGCUGCCCUUAGGCUGGCCUCUUUAUUAUCUCUGCCCCUGACCUUUGGGAAUCCUGUCCAUCUUUGAGUCCCUGGCGCCAGUGACUCCACUCUGCGAAUCCCUUCCUGACCAGCCAUCCCCCACACCCGUAAGACUCCAAGUUCUUUUUGGGGGACAGAAACCCCAAGUGUGCUGAGGUCCAGGCUGCUCCACAUUCAUCCCUGGGUGGGCUGUGGCUCAAACCAGUCAUUUGGGUGACAGAAGUCUCAGACACUCUGGAAGCUGGCCCAGUUGGUCCUGGUGCCCCCAAGAACACUCAUACCCUAUUCUCCUGCAGCAAAUAUACCCUCUCUACUAUUCGUUUGGCCUUGGCUAUUAGGUAUCAUGUGACCUCGCUGGUGUGGCAUCUCCUGGUGUUAGCGGCUUCUUGCAUGAGUACAUUUCUCAGAUGAUCAGACAACAUUUAUUGAACACUUACCAUGUGCCACCUACCGCUGUAACUGCUUUAUGGGGUUAUCCAUUUAAUUCUCCCAAGAACCCCAUGAGUUGAUGUUGUUUUUAUCACCAUAUUACAGAGAAGGAAAUGGGGGCCUAAGUGCUCAGUGGCUACAGGAUGAGCUGGGACUCAAACACAAUAUUGGAACCCCAGCCAUCAAAAUCUGUGAUUUGUCCCUGGUUUGUGUCUCAACCAAAAGAAGUCAGAGUCUUUUUUACUCCCUUAUAUCUCCCGUAGCUCCCGGCCAGUGUCUGUAUACAGUAGUUGUUCAAAAGAUGUGGGCUUUUACUGACUGUUCAAAGACAUUUCUAGGUUGGUUUUUUAAUGAUCAGUGAGACAGGGUGCCCUUAACAGGACAAAAUAGUGUUGAAUCCUUGGUAGACAAAAUCAGGUGCUUUUUGGAAGAAAUGAGAGAGAGAUUUGCAGGCCAUGUAUUAGAAAACUUUGUUCCAAGUCUUUUUUUUUUUUUUUUUGAGACAGAGUCUCACUCUGUUGCCCAGGCUGGAGUGCAGCAGCAUGAUCUCGGCUCACAGUAACCUCUGCCUCCGUGGUUCAAGCAAUUCUCCUGCCUCAGCUUCCCGAGUAGCUGGGAUUACAGGCGUGCACCACGACGCCUGCCUAAUUUUUGUAUUUUUGUAGAGACGGGGUUUCACCAUGUUGGCCAGGCUGGUCUGGAACUCCUGACCCCAAGUGAUCUGCCUGCCUCAGCCUCCCAAAGUGCUGGGAUUACAGGUGUGAUCCACCAUGCCCGGCCAUGUUCCGAGUCCUUAAGGUAACAAGGAGAAAUGUGAGAAGCCCAUUUGGGAAUGAAGGAUGCAGGAAAGCCCUGUAACUGAGGCAGCCAAUCAGAAGCUUUCAUUAACGGCCCUCUUUCUUUUGUCCCCCACUUCCAGAAGAAUCUACCAUAAAACCAACAGACUCCUCCUGAUCUCUACCUGUGCUGUCUGCCUCUCUAGUUCCGGACACUGAGAGCUGGUGCCCUGUGGCCACCUCAAGCUGGAACCCUGCAAGAUCACCAAGAAGACUGCAUGCCUCGCUCUAGCCUUCCUAAGGGAAAGUAGACUCCUGUUUUUGAGAGAAAUUACCUGAUUUCAAGAGAAACAUAAAGGACUUUUUUUCCCUUAACAUUCCACUCGUAAAAAUGAAGUUUGGAAGAACUUCUGCAAACUCUGAGUGUUUUGGUCAAUUGACCUUUUACUGUACUAAGCAAAUCUGAAGCCACAAAUACAUUGGGGAGGAAGGUAUACCCUUCACAAAAGAUCCGUCACUUAGCCAGAUACUCUGUUGCCAUGCUUCUUUAAAUAAAGCACAUUUCUGGUA
rnacentral:lncRNA from 1 species